rnacentral:ncRNA from 1 species
CGGCCACCGGGACGCAUCGAUCUUCGGACCGCAACACGGUCGCCGCACCGGCCCAGCAACGGGGCCGGAAGGUCCGAGGGGAGCGAGUGGCGAGACCGACCCGGCCUG